AACGAACGCUGGCGGCAUGCCUAACACAUGCAAGUCGAACGAGACCUUCGGGUCUAGUGGCGCACGGGUGCGUAACGCGUGGGAACCUGCCCUUAGGUUCGGAAUAACUCCCCGAAAGGGGUGCUAAUACCGGAUAAUGUCUUCGGACCAAAGAUUUAUCGCCUUUGGAUGGGCCCGCGUUGGAUUAGCUGGUUGGUAGGGUAAAAGCCUAUCAAGGCGACGAUCCAUAGCUGGUCUGAGAGGAUGAUCAGCCACACUGGGACUGAGACACGGCCCAGACUCCUACGGGAGGCAGCAGUGGGGAAUAUUGGACAAUGGGCGAAAGCCUGAUCCAGCAAUGCCGCGUGAGUGAUGAAGGCCGUAGGGUUGUAAAGCUCUUUUACCCGGGAUGAUAAUGACAGUACCGGGAGAAUAAGCUCCGGCUAACUCCGUG
rnacentral:rRNA from 1 species